CGAGAGGAGACCACUGGAAAUGGAGCAGCAGCAGGCCUAUCGCCCAGAAAUGAAGACAGAGAUGAAGCAAGGAGCACCCACCAGCUUCCUCCCGCCUGAAGCUUCUCAACUCAAGCCAGACAGGCAGCAAUUCCAGAGUCGAAAGAGGCCUUAUGAAGAAAACCGGGGACGGGGGUACUUUGAGCACCGAGAGGAUAGGAGGUGGGUGUAUGAGGCAGCAGUCAUCCUUGCUCUGGUAGGUCCCUAUAUCCAUAGCCUCGUGCUUGCUGGGGACAUUUGCACUAACCUAGAGGGGCUGAGUAGAGAUUCCCUCUGCUUUCACACUCUUCCUGUCCC
rnacentral:sRNA from 1 species